rnacentral:rRNA from 1 species
CUGAAUAACUCAGCUGAUCGCACAGUCUUAGUACUGGCGACGUAUCUUUCAAGUGUCUGCCUUAUCAACUUUCGAUGGUAGUUUACACGCCUACCAUGGUUGUAACGGGUAACGGAGAAUAAGGGUUCGACUCCGGAGAGGGAGCCUGAGAAACGGCUACCACAUCCAAGGAAGGCAGCAGGCGCGCAAAUUACCCACUCUCAGCACGAGGAGGUAGUGACGAAAAAUAACGAGACGGUUCUCUAUGAGGUCCGUCAUCGGAAUGGGUACAAUUUAAACCCUUUAACGAGGAUCUAUUGGAGGGCAAGUCUGGUGCCAGCAGCCGCGGUAAUUCCAGCUCCAAUAGCGUAUAUUAAAGUUGUUGCGGUUAAAAAG